AAUUUUUUAUCAAUCCCACCAAUAUGGGUAUCAAAUAAAAGGGCUUGACAAUAAGAAUACAGUGCACUAUACAACCUCAAUAUUUAAGAUGGGCCUUGCAAUAAUGAAGCACUAAAUGAAUUAAACAGAAUGCGAAAUAAAAACUAAAAACUAGAAAAUAAAAAUAGGUAAAAUUGCAAUGUUUAAGAUAAAUGUACUAAAAACCA
rnacentral:misc_RNA from 1 species